GACGAAUCUCAGAUUUAUCAAGUUAUAGUUCUUGCAGUGCAAAAGGCAAAAGAAGGGAAAUAUAAAAGAGCUCUACAUAUGUACCAUUUUACAAGAAUUUUUCUAUGCAGGCUGUCAACGUUGUUUUAGGGACUGCACCAAUGACUGUAUCUUUCUUCUCUCCAUCCUUGAAAAUCAUGACGGUUGGGAUACUUCGAAUCCCAUAUCUGGUCGCGAUGCCAGGACUUUCAUCCGUGUUCACCUUGAAGAAUUUAAACUUGUCAGCAAAUUCCUGUGAUAGUUCAUCAAUAACCGGGUGAAUCAUUCUGCAUGGACCACACCAUGGAGCCCAAAAUUCAACCAGAACAGGUAACUUAGACCCGAUUACAAGAGUCUCCCAUGAUUGAUCAUUAACACCAGGCACUAGAACAGCAGUAUCCUGAGCCUCACAGACGAUUCUUCCUCCUCUACUGGGAACAGAUUUUGUAAAUGAGCUAAAGGAUACUGAUGAACGAGUCGACUGGAUCUUAAGACCAUUGAAUAGAGAGAAUUUAACAGAAGACCGGCGACCGGAAACAGGAGACAACGACGGCGAAGCAGCGGCGGCGGCGGCCCGAGGAACUGCGAUAGUUUCCAGCAAACCAGCCAUAGCAGGGUUGAUAAAUUUGUGUGGCUGAGUAGAAU
rnacentral:misc_RNA from 1 species